rnacentral:rRNA from 1 species
CCUACGGGGGGCAGCAGUGGGGAAUAUUGCACAAUGGGCGAAAGCCUGAUGCAGCAACGCCGCGUGAAGGAAGAAGGCCUUCGGGUCGUAAACUUCUGUCCUUGGGGAAGAAGAACUGACGGUACCCAAGGAGGAAGCCCCGGCUAACUACGUGCCAGCAGCCGCGGUAAUACGGAGGGUGCAAGCGUUGUCCGGAAUCAUUGGGCGUAAAGAGUUCGUAGGUGGCAUAUUAAUUCUGGUGUUAAAUGCAGAAGCUCAACUUCUGUUCGGCACUGGAUACUGGUAAGCUUGAAUGCGGUAGAGGUAAAGGGAAUUCCUGGUGUAGCGGUGAAAUGCGGAGAUAUCAGGAGGAACAUCGGUGGCGUAAGCGCUUUACUGGGCCGUAAUUGACACUGAGGAACGAAAGCCGGGGUAGCAAAUGGGAUUAGAUACCCUAGUAGUC